CAGGAAAUCGGAGACCAGGCAGGGGGUGGGGAGACUCCAACAGUGAGAGUGAGGAAUGGUACUCAGCGAGGGGCCCCUGCUCCCGGUACCCCAGGGGUCAGUGUCCGGGGUCCAUCAGACAGCUGACUGCCAGCUCCUCUGGGCGAGCUCCUGCUGCACCGACCAAUCAACCACAACAGGGACUCCUUGCUGAUGGGACCCUCUGCAGUGAUUCUCCCAUCGAUGGACUGACAGCUCUCAGCAAUGGGACCGUUCUGAUAUUCAAAGGU